rnacentral:rRNA from 1 species
CCUUGCUGCGCGUAUUCUGCCUUGAGUUUGAUCCUGGCUCAGAUUGAACGCUGGCGGCAGGCCUAACACAUGCAAGCCGAGCGGAUGAAGGGAGCUUGCUCUCUGAUUCAGCGGCGGACGGGUGAGUAAUGCCUAGGAAUCUGCCUGAUAGUGGGGGACAACGUUUCGAAAGGAACGCUAAUACCGCAUACGUCCUACGGGAGAAAGCAGGGGACCUUCGGGCCUUGCGCUAUCAGAUGAGCCUAGGUCGGAUUAGCUAGUUGGUGAGGUAACGGCUCACCAAGGCGACGAUCCGUAACUGGUCUGAGAGGAUGAUCAGUCACACUGGAACUGAAACACGGUCCAGACUCCUACGGGAGGCAGCAGUGGGGAAUAUUGGACAAUGGACGAAAGCCUGAUCCAGCCAUGCCGCGUGUGUGAAGAAGGUCUUCGGAUUGUAAAGCACUUUAAGUUGGGAGGAAGGGCAUUAACCUAAUACGUUAGUGUUUUGACGUUACCGACAGAAUAAGCACCGGCUAACUUCGUGCCAGCAGCCGCGGUAAUACGAAGGGUGCAAGCGUUAAUCGGAAUUACUGGGCGUAAAGCGCGCGUAGGUGGUUUGUUAAGUUGAAUGUGAAAGCCCCGGGCUCAACCUGGGAACUGCAUCCAAAACUGGCAAGCUAGAGUAUGGCAGAGGGUGGUGGAAUUUCCUGUGUAGCGGUGAAAUGCGUACAUAUAGGAAGGAACACUAGUGGCGAAUGCGACCACCUGGGCUAAUACUGACACUGAGGUGCGAAAGCGUGGGGAGCAAACAGGAUUAGAUACCCUGGUAGUCCACGCCGUAAACGACGUCGACUAGCCGUUGGGAUCCUUGAGAUCUUAGUGGCGCAGCUAACGCAUUUAAGUCGACCGCCUGGGGAGUACUGGCCGCAAGGUUAUAACUCAAAUGGACUUGACGGGGGACCCGCUACAAUCAGUUGAGCAUGUGCUGUCACUUCGGAGGCGACGCGAGAUCUUUAUCAGGCUUGACAUGCAGACGAACUUUCCGAGAUGAUGGAUCGGUGCCUUCGCGGACUCUGACUCAGGGUGCUGCAUGCCUGUCGGUCAGCCUCGUGUCGUGAGAUGUCGGAUAGUUCCCGUACGAGGGCAGCUAUGUCUUGAUAACAGCCACGCCUUAUAGGGCGUGUCACCUCUACUUAAGGC